AGUGAACGCUGGCGGCAGGCCUAAUACAUGCAAGUCGAACGGCAGCACAGCAGAGCUUGCUCUGUGGGUGGCGAGUGGCGGACGGGUGAGGAAUACAUGGGAAUCUGCCCAGUCGUGGGGGAUAACGUAGGGAAACUUACGCUAAUACCGCAUGCGCCCUUCGGGGGAAAGCCGGGGACCUUCGGGCCUGGCGCGAUUGGAUGAGCCCAUGUCGGAUUAGCUAGUUGGCGGGGUAACGGCCCACCAAGGCGACGAUCCGUAGCUGGUCUGAGAGGAUGAUCAGCCACACUGGAACUGAGACACGGUCCAGACUCCUACGGGGGGCAGCAGUAGGGAAUAUUGGACAAUGGGCGCAAGCCUGAUUCAGCCAUGCCGCGUGAGUGAAGAAGGCCUUCGGGUUGUAAAGCUCUUUUGUCCGGAAAGAAAAGCAUCCAGUUAAUACCUGGGUGUCCUGACGGUACCGGAAGAAUAAGCACCGGCUAACUUCGUGCCAGCCGCCGCAGUAACAC
rnacentral:rRNA from 1 species